rnacentral:rRNA from 1 species
GAUGAACGCUGGCGGCGUGCCUAAUACAUGCAAGUCGAGCGAACGGACGAGAAGCUUGCUUCUCUGAUGUUAGCGGCGGACGGGUGAGUAACACGUGGAUAACCUACCUAUAAGACUGGGAUAACUUCGGGAAACCGUAGCUAAUACCGGAUAAUAUUUUGAACCGCAUGGUUCAAAAGUGAAAGACGGUCUUGCUGUCACUUAUAGAUGGAUCCGCGCUGCAUUAGCUAGUUGGUAAGGUAACGGCUUACCAAGGCAACGAUGCAUAGCCGACCUGAGAGGGGGGCGGGACACAGGGGAACAGAGACACGGCCCAGACUCAAGAGGGAGGAAGAGGUGGGAGAUCUUCCGAAGGGGGAAAAGGCCGGAGGGAGAAACCCGGAGGGAGGAAGAAAGGUGUGGGGAACGAAAAACUGUGUUAUAGGGGAAAAAAAUGUGGGAAAGAAACUGUGCACAUCUGAAGGGACCAAAAUAAGAAAGACAGGGAAAACUCCGUG